AAGUGCUGAAACACAUGCACAUAAAAUACAUAAGAAUCCUGAGCAAUCUUCUACUAAUGGUUAAAGCAAUGGACAUCAGAAAGUGUUUUGGAUGUUUCAUACAUUAUUCAUGGGCGUACUCAUCCAACGGUGUUUCUCAUUGUGAAAACAAGUCACACGUUCUGGGAGCUUCAGUCUGAUAACAGGACCAAUUGGUUUUACCAGCUGGUCAUAAAAAAAGGGUCUACAGGAGGUCAACACAUCCCUUAAAUUAAAAUCAAUGGAAAGUACAAAUGAACUGGCAUUCUCGGGGAGCAAGAACACGCCUAGUUAGAAGGUUACAAAAGCAAAGAAUAAAGUCAAGGAGCACAGGCCACUUACAGCGAUUAUGUUGAAGAAGUCAUCAUCUCCGAGGGUGUCCAAAA